rnacentral:rRNA from 1 species
CAGGGGGUAUUGCCCUUAGUAACGGGCGGAGUGAAGCGGCAAAAGCUCAAAUUUGAAAUCUGGCACCUUCGGUGUCCGAGUUGUAAUUUGAAGAAGGUAACUUUGGAGUUGGCUCUUGUCUAUGUUCCUUGGAACAGGACGUCACAGAGGGUGAGAAUCCCGUGCGAUGAGAUGCCCAAUUCUAUGUAAAGUGCUUUCGAAGAGUCGAGUUGUUUGGGAAUGCAGCUCUAAGUGGGUGGUAAAUUCCAUCUAAAGCUAAAUAUUGGCGAGAGACCGAUAGCGAACAAGUACAGUGAUGGAAAGAUGAAAAGAACUUUGAAAAGAGAGUGAAAAAGUACGUGAAAUUGUUGAAAGGGAAGGGCUUGAGAUCAGACUUGGUAUUUUGCGAUCCUUUCCUUCUUGGUUGGGUUCCUCGCAGCUUACUGGGCCAGCAUCGGUUUGGAUGGUAGGAUAAUGACUAAGGAAUGUGGCUCUACUUCGGUGGAGUGUUAUAGCCUUGGUUGAUACUGCCUGUCUAGACCGAGGACUGCGUCUUUGACUAGGAUGCUGGCAUAAUGAUCUUAAGCCACCCGUCUUGAAACACGGACCCA